rnacentral:rRNA from 1 species
GACAGAGGAUGCAAGCGUUAUCCGGAAUGAUUGGGCGUAAAGCGUCUGUAGGUGGCUUUUUAAGUCCGCCGUCAAAUCCCAGGGCUCAACCCUGGACAGGCGGUGGAAACUACCAAGCUGGAGUACGGUAGGGGCAGAGGGAAUUUCCGGUGGAGCGGUGAAAUGCGUUUGAGAUCGGAAGGAACGCCCGUGGCGAAAGCGAGGUCCUGGACGUUUUCUGACGCUGAGACGCGAAAGCCAGGGGAGCGAACGGG